AAACCUGAGGCCAAAGGCGUCACAGGGUGAGAAGCAGGCUCAGCUCUGCCCUGGGACGUUUUGUCUAUCGCUAAUUACAUUAGGGAUAAAGGCAAGCUUCGCUCGCCCUAUUUCCUAACUCCUCUUCUGCGAAUUUCUGGUACUACUGAGGAAAAGGCACCGUCACAGCCAGGACUUUGUGCGUGAGUGGAAGCGCUCAUAGCCUUACGCAAGCAGCGCUCCUGGAGACACAGAACGAGUUAAUCAACACGGUGGUAACACAGCUGAAACCCUGCUCCUGCUAAUUGGCACACAGUGCUUUGGUUUCACCAAAAAGCUCUCUGUAAGAGGGAAAAAAAAAUAUGUUUUGGAAAGGCUAUGAUUCAUCUGAUGACCUGAGGAAAACCCCUUCCCAGUGGAACAAGGUUUUCCGAAUCUAACCAGUCUGACAGCUUCGGGAGCACCCACACAACGCCCUCUGACAGAGCCAGCCUCGUGGAUCCCAGUGUCACAGCCGCCCCGUUGGACCUGGAGGUCAGUUGUCUCUUCCCAUCUGCAUGAGUUUGGUCCCUUUCUGGAAAACCACAGGAGAGGAAACCAACUUUGGUGGCAAAUCUCUCUAACAGAGGCAAGAGACAGGAUGAAGCAAGCUUCUGCUUACAGGUGUGACAAUGCAACAUGUUCAGGCCCACUUUUGAUAUUGACUUCAGAUUUAACCUAGACUGUGUGUAAUCCUUAUCAAUGCAAUGUGACACCACCAGCUAACCUGCCCAGGGCAUCUCUUUUGUUUUCUGAGUGUUCAGGCAUGACAUGGAGCACUUUAAACUAUGCUCAGAGCUAUCAAAAAGUGUGUAUCUCUGGGCAGCUUGAGCCAGCUGGACUGUGACUUGAUUAGGGAUGUUUCUUUAGCAGGUUACGUGGGGAGCAGGAGACUAUUUGGCACAGACACACUACUCUUAGUACAUAAUGUGCAACGAGCCCAUUAGGCUGGCCAAGCUUAUCACUUCCUUUUUUUUUUCUUAAUGAUUACAUUCAAUCCCAAUUCAAUAAGUGACAAAUCUAAGAAAUGUUUCAAAUUAUUUUAUUUUUGGAAAAUAUUCUUUCCUUUGUUGUUGCCCAGCUCCUUGAAAGGGUGCUUUGACUGUACAUGUACCUUGUGUUCUUAGUGUAGCCAAGAACAUUUGUUUCAAAAUUGUAUUCACUGCUGCAUCCUAAGGACUUGUAGCCCUGCCAGCUGCAUUUUCAUUUGGGUACAACUCACAUCUGUCCUUAUCAACCACAUCCUACAGAAGGUAAGAUGGACUAAAAGCUUUCCUUCAUGUAGUUGUAGUGUAUGGACCAAUUCCCAAGUGAUGGUGGUCAUGCUGCUGGUGUGCUGAAGCCUCUGCCUGCCUUGUUGAGGAAUUGUUUUUUUGGUGAUUUUUUUUUUUUUUGAUGCGUUCCUCCUUGAGGAAAUCCUCAAAUGAGGAAAAAACUAAAAACUGUAAAAACUGUGAGGAAGGGAGGCAGUGAGAAACAGGGCUCAGAAGAGACAGGAUCCCAGGUGAAAAUUGCCAGCCAGUGGGAGUAACAUGUAGAAGGAUUUCCUCAGUCUUGAUGUGAAAAGGGAGAGGUCCUGUAUCUAGACCAACUCCCUUUGCUAGCUUCUUUUUAAGUCAGCAUGAACUUUGAUACUCCAGCAAAGACCUGAAGCACUUUCAGCAACUCCGGUGGAAAGAUCACUCACAGAAACGGAGCUUCUUGCUAAAUCCCAAGUAGCAUGGUCAGAACUGCUGGUGAUGGAGAGCCUCGCCCCAUGCCUCCAACAGCUCAGUGAAUUGUGGCCCUAAGGACAGAACUCUCUGCAGGCUCCCUUAAACGCAUCAGGUUGGACAAUAACUCUGCAAUACACCACCCUCCUCACCCCACAAAUUAUCCAAGUUAUUCGAAGCAGAAACAUGUCUAUUAGAUGAAGAAUUCAGAAAGCCCUUUUGAUAGGAGUCCUAGUCCAAACCAGUAAGUGACCAUCUUUCCAUGUUAUGUUGUCCACAGCAAUUAUUAACAAUGCUGCUGAGAAGGAUGUGCAUAGAAGUAGAAGGACUGAAGAUCUCACUUGUUUAGUUUUUCAAGAGCAAGCCCAUAACCAAUGCGAUCAGGCAACUCUAACACUGCCUGACACAGGAACAUCUUGAUUUCCACCACUUUGUCCUCUUAGGAGGACACGUACCCCAGCACCCAAUGAAAUCCAAAUUUCCUGGCCUUCUCCAGAGCAGCAAAGACGAUGUGUGCAAUCCAAAUCGCCUCUGUACCAAACCUUGGAUUUAGCUGCACACAAAGACACGGCCUGCUUGGGAGGGCUGAGGGUGAAUACAGCAUUCAUUCACUCAAAUCACCAUUCAUUUCAAGACCAGGCUUUUGGCCGCUGCUAAAUUCUGAAGUGUUUGCUGUGGGCAGAGAAUGGAAGAGGGAGAAGGAACGAAGGAAUGAAAUACCAGAGGGUUCAGCAAAAUCAGCUUAGGGCUGAGCAGUUGCAGGGCUGCGGAGGAUCAGCAUAAGCCUCUGAGACGUGCUAGGAGGGAAUGUGUGGCAGGACGUGACUGCCUAUUAGGCUGCCUUUAACCCAAGGGAAAAACAAUGUUCUACCUCUGCCGAGUAAAUUGACUUGUCUGUGGGGUGAAUUGUUUAAAUUUAACAGCAGUACUCCAAUGAAACAGUGAUAGGGACGCUAACAAAACAUAGUUCACUAUCUCUAAGACCAAAAAAAAUGUAGAUCAAAUAGAAGACAUCGAUUAAAUGUCUGUGAUAUACAGUGAGGAGUUGCCAUGUAGUCAAGAGCAGGAUGAAAAACCUAACAGACACAGGGUUUCAUUUCCUUAAGUCUUCAUAACCUCAGCAGAAUUGCCUCACUAUUUCCUUCUGUUACAGAAACUACCUCGUAUUUCAGGCUGGUACAGAUGCUGGUGCUUGACACACCCACAGAAGACUGACGCAAAGCUGAAGGAACUCCUCUUUUCCUCCUUUUUCCCUUUCCCCACAUGCAAAAGGUUAAAUAACUUGCACUUUCUUACAAAAUACAAGAAGUAGUUUGGUUUUACUCCUGCAGACUCACUGAAGUCACAUUACCUCUUAUCUGGGGAAACUGAGGUGGGCUCUAAAGUUUCUUGCUAGGGCCCUUAAACUGCAAAUAGUCUGGUCUCCAGGUCCACCUUUAAAAUGCAAUUCUCCAACACUUGUUAUGGUGUUAAGGAUUUUUAAUUUUUCAAACCAUCUCCAAAGCUUUAAUGUUUUUUAUAGUUGAUAUCACAUAAA